UCAGGAUGAACGCUGGCGGCGUGCCUAAUACAUGCAAGUCGAGCGAACUGAUUAGAAGCUUGCUUCUAUGACGUUAGCGGCGGACGGGUGAGUAACACGUGGGCAACCUGCCUGUAAGACUGGGAUAACUUCGGGAAACCGAAGCUAAUACCGGAUAGGAUCUUCUCCUUCAUGGGAGAUGAUUGAAAGAUGGUUUCGGCUAUCACUUACAGAUGGGCCCGCGGUGCAUUAGCUAGUUGGUGAGGUAACGGCUCACCAAGGCAACGAUGCAUAGCCGACCUGAGAGGGUGAUCGGCCACACUGGGACUGAGACACGGCCCAGACUCCUACGGGAGGCAGCAGUAGGGAAUCUUCCGCAAUGGACGAAAGUCUGACGGAGCAACGCCGCGUGAGUGAUGAAGGCUUUCGGGUCGUAAAACUCUGUUGUUAGGGAAGAACAAGUACAAGAGUAACUGCUUGUACCUUGACGGUACCUAACCAGAAAGCCACGGCUAACUACGUGCCAGCAGCCGCGGUAAUACGUAGGUGGCAAGCGUUAUCCGGAAUUAUUGGGCGUAAAGCGCGCGCAGGCGGUUUCUUAAGUCUGAUGUGAAAGCCCACGGCUCAACCGUGGAGGGUCAUUGGAAACUGGGGAACUUGAGUGCAGAAGAGAAAAGCGGAAUUCCACGUGUAGCGGUGAAAUGCGUAGAGAUGUGGAGGAACACCAGUGGCGAAGGCGGCUUUUUGGUCUGUAACUGACGCUGAGGCGCGAAAGCGUGGGGAGCAAAACAAGGAUUAGAUUCCCUUUAGAGAGGUC
rnacentral:rRNA from 2 species